rnacentral:rRNA from 1 species
GUCGAACGAAGCUUUCGGGCUUAGUGGCGCACGGGUGCGUAACGCGUAUGCAAUUUACCUUUUACAGGGGGACAACACUAGGAAACUGGUGCUAAUACCGCGUAAUAAAUAGAGAGGCAUCUUUUUAUUUUAAAAGAAUUUCGGUAAGAGAUAAGCAUGCGUCCCAUUAGCUAGUUGGUAAGGUAACGGCUUACCAAGGCCACGAUGGGUAGGGGAACUGAGAGGUUUAUCCCCCACACUGGUACUGAGAUACGGACCAGACUCCUACGGGAGGCAGCAGUAAGGAAUAUUGGGCAAUGGGCGAGAGCCUGACCCAGCCAUGCCGCGUGCAGGAUGACGCUCCUCGUUGGGUGUAAACUGCUUUUAUUAGGGAAGAACAAGUUUCUGCGGAGACAACUGACGGUACCUAAUGAAUAAGCACCGGCUAACUACGUGCCAGCAGCCGCGGUAAUACGUAGGGUGCAAGCGUUGUCCGGAUUUAUUGGGUUUAAAGGGUGUGUAGGCGGUCUAGUAAGUUUUGGGUGAAAGCCCACCGCUCAACGGUGGAACUGCCUGAGAUACUGCUAGACUUGAGUAUAGUUAAAGUUACUAGAAUUGGUGGUGUAGCGGUGAAAUGCAUAGAUACCACCAGGAAUACCAAUUGCGAAGGCAGGUAACUAGGCUAUAACUGACGCUGAGGCACGAAAGCAUGGGUAGCGAACAGGAUUAGAUACCCUGGUAGUCCAUGCUGUAAACG